GGUGCCUGGCACCCACCCCAAAGGUUGGGAGGGGGCUCGAGGCCAUCAGGCUCCAGGCCGCACUUGGCGCUGCCCCCUGGCGCCAGGGAAACAAAGGUUACAGGCUGCUGUCCUCAGGGUGCCAGACAUCUUCUGCUCAAGAGCCAGCUGCCCUGGCCACCACAGCCCCACCUCCACCACCAGGCUGGGCAUCCCGAGGCUGGCAGGCAUCUCUUCAGGCAGCCGCCAGUCCUGGCACUGGCUCCCCCACUCAGCCCCUUGGCCCUGCCAGCCCUUUGAAGCUCAUGCAGCGCUUCCUGUUUGGGGCGGGCGAUGCCAGGGCCCCUCCCCCACCAUUGUUCUGGAGAGACCAUAGGUCCAUCUGUUGCCCCAUGGUGGGGCCCCUAGGCAGUGCCACACGGGAGCAGCACCACAAAGGACCCUGCUGGCAGCUUUGCUUAUGUGGGGUGCAGAGGCAGGUGGCUGCAGCUCACCUUCCCUCCAUGGCAUGAUCUCCCAGCUCUGACCCUUGACCUGUUCCCUCGCGGCAUCUCCACAGGGCUAGAAGGUGAACCCUACUUCCUUUACCAGGUCCUCUGGUUUCUCUUCCCAGGCCAGGACCUAAACCGUUCACAACUCCCAGCAGGCCAGAGCUGCAGAGACCUCAGAUAGAGACUAUAAAGUGCUGUGGAAGCCUUGUUCAAAUAAAAACUUUCAUGAAUGUCC